rnacentral:pre_miRNA from 1 species
GUAUGGGCCUGAUCCAAAACCCACAGACAUCAGUGCGAGUCCUUCCAUUGAUGUUAAUGGGCUUUGGGUCAGGCCCUAUUUGC